rnacentral:lncRNA from 10 species
UGGGGAGGCUGAGGCAGGAGAAUCACUUGAACCCGGGAGGCGGAGGUUGCAGUGAGCCGAGAUCACGCCAUUGCACUCCAAUCUAGGCAAUAAGAGCAAAACUCCGUCUCAAACAACAAAAAACCAAAGUAUAACUGGGCUUUUUGAAGAACAUGAAACAUGCCCAGUGUCUGAAGUAGAAUAACUACCGAACUGUCCGUAGGACUAAACUUUUUCUUGAAAAAGCUCUACCAAAAAAAGUCACCGGCCACUCCCUUGUCACAGUUAUUAGACAGGAGGAGAAAUGAUAAUUCUACUGCCCUUCAUUCUACAAAUGUUUGAGUGCUAACUGUAUUCCAGAUUCUCAAAAAGCUAUUGCCAGGUAUCUCUGGGGCUACUGAUUUCCUGAUCAUAAUGCAAUGGCAACCAACGGGCACUUGGGCAUGGUGAGGGUGGGCAAGCUUUCAAAAGCAGCGUGGAUCUGGCAUUCUUUUCCACGAAUGCACCUCAACUACUUGGCACCAGUGGUAACACAGCAACCAGGGUUCCGACCUAGAGAAUCCCGUAACCUUCUGACUGGAACGGGGUCUGGGCUGUCGCUACACAUCCUGGUGGAAGGCAGCUAUCAUCCCUACCUUCUGCCUUCUGUCUCUUAAAUCUGAACCACAAACAGCAACGUCCAUACCCUCAGCAUUGUUAGAAUCCCCUGCAGCCUCCAGUUCUCAUACUGUCUGUAUUCUACUCGCCAGUUUGGAGAGGUCUGGUGGAGAAAAGGAGUCUCUUUUCAGGCUUGACAACAAAUAGAACUCAGGGCCGGGCGCGGUGGCUCACCAAAACCUCUUUAACUUGUGUUCCAUGGGCUCCUUUUCUGUGGGUCAAAAUCCUCCUGGAACCCUACAAUG